rnacentral:rRNA from 1 species
UUAGCCUACGGGGGGCAGCAGUGGGGAAUAUUGCACAAUGGGGGAAACCCUGAUGCAGCGACGCCGCGUGAGCGAAGAAGUAUUUCGGUAUGUAAAGCUCUAUCAGCAGGGAAGAAAAAUGACGGUACCUGAGUAAGAAGCACCGGCUAAAUACGUGCCAGCAGCCGCGGUAAUACGUAUGGUGCAAGCGUUAUCCGGAUUUACUGGGUGUAAAGGGUGCGUAGGUGGCAGGGAAAGUCAGAUGUGAAAGCCCGGGGCCCAACCCCGGUACUGCAUUUGAAACUGUCCGGCUGGCGUGCAGGAGG